CCCUUAGAUGUCCUGGGCCGCACGCGUGCUACACUGACGCCUACAGCGAGUACUUCCCAGCCCCGAGAGGUGGCUGGUAAUCAGCAAUAGGCGUCGUGAUGGGGAUAGAUCUUUGGAAUUAUGGAUCUUGAACGAGGAAUGCCUAGUAAGCGCAGGUCAUUAGCCUGCGCUGAUUAAGUCCCUGCCCUUUGUACACACCGCCCGUCGCUCCUACCGAUUUCGAGUGGUCCGGUGAAGACUCGAGAUUGUGGUCUAGCUCCUUCAUUGGGGCUUGACCGCGAGAACCUGUCUAAACCUUAUCAUUUAGAGGAAGGUGAANUCGUAACA
rnacentral:rRNA from 1 species